rnacentral:rRNA from 1 species
AUUGAACGCUGGCGGCAGGCCUAACACAUGCAAGUCGAACGAGUGGCGGACGGGUGAGUAAUGUCUGGGAAACUGCCUGAUGGAGGGGGAUAACUACUGGAAACGGUAUCUAAUACCGCAUACCAUCGGAUGUGCACAUAUGGGAUUAGCUAGUAGGUGGGGUAAAGGCUCACCAAGGCCACGAUCCCUAGCUGGUCUGAGAGGAUGACCAGCAAAACUGGAACUGAGACACGGUCCAGACUCCUACGGGAGGCAACAGUGGGGAAUAUUGCACAAUGGGCGCAAGCCUGAUGCAGCCAUGCCGAGUGUAUGAAGAAGGCCUUCGGGUUGUAAAGUACGUUCAGCGGGGAGGCGGUACCCGCAGAAGAAGCACCGGCUAACUCCGUGCCAGCAGCCGCGGUAAUUC